rnacentral:rRNA from 1 species
AUUGAACGCUGGCGGCAGGCCUAACACAUGCAAGUCGAGCGGAGGAGGGGGGCUUGCUCCUGGAUUCAGCGGCGGACGGGUGAGUAAUGCCUAGGAAUCUGCCUGGUCGUGGGGGAUAACGUCCGGAAACGGGCGCUAAUACCGCAUACGUCCUGAGGGAGAAAGUGGGGGAUCUUCGGACCUCACGCUAUCAGAUGAGCCUAGGUCGGAUUAGCUAGUUGGUGGGGUAAAGGCCUACCAAGGCGACGAUCCGUAACUGGUCUGAGAGGAUGAUCAGUCACACUGGAACUGAGACACGGUCCAGACUCCUACGGGAGGAAGCAGUGGGGAAUAUUGGACAAGGGGCGAAAGCCUGAUCCAGCAAUGCCGCGUGUGUGAAGAAGGUCUUCGGAUUGUAAAGCACUUUAAGUGGGGAGGAAGGGCAGUAAGUUAAUACCUUGCUGUUUUGACGUUACCAACAGAAUAAGCACCGGCUAACUUCGUG